rnacentral:rRNA from 1 species
AGAGUUUGAUUCUGGCUCAGAGUGAACGCUGGCGGCAGGCCUAAUACAUGCAAGUCGAACGGCAGCACAGCAGAGCUUGCUCUGUGGGUGGCGAGUGGCAGACGGGUGAGGAAUACAUGGGAAUCUGCCCAGUCGUGGGGGAUAACGUAUGGAAACGUACGCUAAUACCGCAUGCGCCCUAAGGGGGAAAGCCGGGGACCGCAAGGCCUGGCGCGAUUGGAUGAGCCCAUGUUCGAUUAGCUGGUUGGCGGGGUAAAGGCCCACCAAGGCGACGAUCGAUAGCUGGUCUGAGAGGAUGAUCAGCCACACUGGAAUUGAGACACGGUCCAGACUCCUACGGGAGGCGGCAGUAGGGAAUAUUGGACAAUGGGCGCAAGCCUGAUCCAGCCAUGCCGCGUGAGUGAAGAAGGCCCUCGGGUUGUAAAGCUCUUUUGUUGGGGAAGAAAAGCAUCUGGUUAAUACCCGGGUGUUCUGACGGUACCCAAAGAAUAAGCACCGGCUAACUUCGUGCCAGCAGCCGCGGUAAUACGAAGGGUGCAAGCGUUACUCGGAAUUACUGGGCGUAAAGCGUGCGUAGGUGGUUUGUUAAGUCUGAUGUGAAAGCCCUGGGCUCAACCUGGGAAUGGCAUUGGAUACUGGCAGGCUAGAGUGCGGUAGAGGGUAGUGGAAUUCCCGGUGUAGCAGUGAAAUGCGUAGAGAUCGGGAGGAACAUCCGUGGCGAAGGCGACUACCUGGGCCAGCACUGACACUGAGGCACGAAAGCGUGGGGAGCAAACAGGAUUAGAUACCCUGGUAGUCCACGCCCUAAACGAUGCGAACUGGAUGUUGGGCUCAACUUGGAGCUCAGUAUCGAAGCUAACGCGUUAAGUUCGCCGCCUGGGGAGUACGGUCGCAAGACUGAAACUCAAAUGAAUUGACGG